CACGUAGGGCGCAAGCGUUGUCCGGAAUUAUUGGGCGUAAAGAGCUCGUAGGCGGUCUGUUGCGUCCGCUGUGAAAAACUCGGGGCUUAACCCCCGAGCCUGCAGUGGAUACGGGCAGACUAGAGGUAGGUAGGGGGAGAAUGGAAUUCCCGGUGUAGCGGUGAAAUGCGCAGAUAUCAGGAAGAACACCCGUGGCGAAGGCGGCUCUCUGGGGACGGUACUGACGCUGAGACGCGAAAAGCGUGGGGGAGCGAACAGG
rnacentral:rRNA from 1 species